rnacentral:rRNA from 1 species
UACGUAGGGAGCAAGCGUUGUCCGGAAUCAUUGGGCGUAAAGCGCGCGUAGGCGGCCCUGUAAGUCCGUUGUGAAAGUCAAAGGCUCAACCUUUGAAAGCCGAUGGAUACUGCAGGGCUAGAGUCCGGAAGAGGCGAGUGGAAUUCCUGGUGUAGCGGUGGAAUGCGCAGAUAUCAGGAGGAACACCAAUAGCGAAGGCAGCUCGCUGGGACGGUACUGACGCUAAGGCGCGAAGCGUGGGAGCGAACGAGGA